rnacentral:rRNA from 1 species
CACGUAGGGCGCGAGCGUGUCCGGAAUUAUUGGGCGUAAAGAGCUCGUAGGCGGCCUGUUGCGUCCGCUGUGCAAAUCCCGGGGCUUAACCCCGGGCGUGCAGUGGAUACGGGCUGGCUGGAGGCAGGCAGGGGAGAACGGAAUUCCCGGUGUAGCGGUGAAAUGCGCAGAUAUCGGGAGGAACACCGGUGGCGAAGGCGGUUCUCUGGGCCUGUACUGACGCUGAGGAGCGAAAGCGUGGGGAGCGAACAGG